rnacentral:rRNA from 1 species
AACGAACGCUGGCGGCGUGCCUAACACAUGCAAGUCGAACGGAAUGAAGGGGCUUGCUCCUUCAUUUAGUGGCGCACGGGUGAGUAACGCGUAGAUAAUCUGCCUGAUGAUCUGGGAUAACAUCUCGAAAGGGGUGCUAAUACCGGAUAAGCCCACGGAAUCUUUGGGUUCUGCGGGAAAAGGGGGGGACCUUCGGGCCUUCUGUCAUCAGAUGAGUCUGCGUACCAUUAGCUAGUUGGUAGGGUAAUGGCCUACCAAGGCGACGAUGGUUAGCUGGUCUGAGAGGAUGAUCAGCCACACUGGAACUGAGACACGGUCCAGACUCCUACGGGAGGCAGCAGUGGGGAAUUUUGCGCAAUGGGCGAAAGCCUGACGCAGCAACGCCGCGUGAGUGAUGAAGGCUUUCGGGUCGUAAAGCUCUGUCAAGGGGAAAGAAGUGUAUUGCGGUUAAUACCCGUGAUACUUGACGGUACCCCUAAAGGAAGCACCGGCUAACUCCGUGCCAGCAGCCGCGGUAAUACGGAGGGUGCAAGCGUUGUUCGGAUUUAUUGGGCGUAAAGCGCGUGUAGGCGGUUUAUUAAGUCUGAUGUGAAAGCCCUGGGCUCAACCCAGGAAGUGCAUUGGAUACUGGUAGACUUGAAUACGGGAGAGGGCAGUGGAAUUCCUGGUGUAGGAGUGAAAUCCGUAGAUAUCAGGAGGAACACCGGUGGCGAAGGCGGCUGCCUGGACCGAUAUUGACGCUGAGACGCGAAAGCGUGGGUAGCAAACAGGAUUAGAUACCCUGGUAGUCCACGCCGUAAACGAUGAGUACUAGGUGUUGCGGGUAUUGACCCCUGCAGUGCCGCAGCUAACGCAUUAAGUACUCCGCCUGGGAAGUACGGUCGCAAGACUA